UCGAGCGGACUUGAUGGAGUGCUUGCACUCCUGAUGGUUAGCGGCGGACGGGUGAGUAACACGUAGGUAACCUGCCCAUAAGACUGGGAUAACCCACGGAAACGUGAGCUAAUACCAGAUAGGCAUUUUCCUCGCAUGAGGGGAAUGAGAAAGGCGGAGCAAUCUGUCACUUAUGGAUGGACCUGCGGCGCAUUAGCUAGUUGGUGAGGUAACGGCUCACCAAGGCGACGAUGCGUAGCCGACCUGAGAGGGUGAUCGGCCACACUGGGACUGAGACACGGCCCAGACUCCUACGGGAGGCAGCAGUAGGGAAUCUUCCGCAAUGGACGAAAGUCUGACGGAGCAACGCCGCGUGAGUGAUGAAGGUUUUCGGAUCGUAAAGCUCUGUUGCCAGGGAAGAACGCCUAGGAGAGUAACUGCUCUUAGGGUGACGGUACCUGAGAAGAAAGCCCCGGCUAACUACGUGCCAGCAGCCGCGGUAAUACGUAGGGGGCGAGCGUUGUCCGGAAUUAUUGGGCGUAAAGCGCGCGCAGGCGGCAAUGUAAGUUGGGUGUUUAAACCUAGGGCUCAACCUUGGGUCGCAUCCAAAACUGCAUAGCUUGAGUACAGAAGAGGAAAGUGGAAUUCCACGUGUAGCGGUGAAAUGCGUAGAGAUGUGGAGGAACACCAGUGGCGAAGGCGACUUUCUGGGCUGUAACUGACGCU
rnacentral:rRNA from 1 species